GAGAGAGCCUGCUCCUAGUACGAGAGGACCGGAGUGGACGCACCUCUGGUGUAUCGGUUGUCACGCCAGUGGCAUUGCCGAGUAGCUAAGUGCGGAAGAGAUAACCGCUGAAAGCAUCUAAGCGGGAAACUCGUCUCAAGAUGAGUCUUGCCGGGGCCUUGAGCCCCCUGAAGGGUCGUUCGAGACCAGGACGUUGAUAGGCUGGGUGUGGAAGCGCAGUAAUGCGUUAAGCUAACCAGUACUAAUUGCCCGU
rnacentral:rRNA from 1 species